CCCCAUUACCACCCUAAACCACGAACACCCGACAGCGAUAUUAUUAUAGUUCAGCAACUGCCAACAGCUGGUCAUGGUAGAAGUGUAUCGUAGUGACUUACUGUGUAGUGCCCAUCCUGUUCUUCACCACCCACCCAUCUUGUUUAUGGUGCUGGGACAAAUGAACCUAGUGCAGUUUACCCCAACCCACCUGACAGUCCAUCGUGUGACCCACACUUCAAUAGACAGGUUGAUUAAUCUCGAGCCCUGAUGAAGAUCCAAACCCCCGGAUCGAAACGUUGGCAAUGAUUUGAAAUUAUCAACAUUUUCAUGUGACUGAAAGCCGAAAAUCCUGAAAAUUAG